rnacentral:RNase_P_RNA from 1 species
CGAGUAAGCAAGGCAGCUGCGGGAACAUGACCGCGAGGCGGUUCUCGAGGAAAGUCCGAGCUCCGUAGGGCAGGGUGCUGGGUAACGCCCAGUGGGGGUGACCCUAAGGCUAGUGCCACAGAAAAUAUACCGCCGCGCACCCGGCGGGGGAGAAGCCGCCAGCUUGCGAGAGUAGGCAAUCUUAAAGGCAGGCUGUAGGGAAUGCUUUUUCGCCGCCGGGUGCGCGGCAAGGGUGCAACGGUGCGGUAAGAGCGCACCAGGAGCCGGGAGACCGGCUUGCUAGGUAAACCCCACCCGGAGCAAGACCAAAUAGGAGGGGGAUGAGGUUGCCCGCUGACUCCUCGGGUUUGGUCGCUGGAGGCGCCAGGCAACUGGCGUCCAAGAUAGAUGGUUGCCUAAAACAGAACUCGGCUUACCAGUUUGCUCGGGUC